AGAGUUUGAUCCUGGCUCAGAACGAACGCUGGCGGCGUGGUUUAGGCAUGCAAGUCGGACGAUCUUCGGAUAGUGGCAAAAGGGUGAGUAACACGUGGGUAAUCUACCUCUAAGUUGGGAAUAACCCCGUGAAAGCGGGGCUAAUACCGAAUAAGACCCCAGAGACGUAUGUCUCAGAGGUUAAAGUUGAGGACCCCGCAAGGGGCUCAGCACUUAGAGAUGAGCCCGCGUCCUAUCAGCUUGUUGGUGAGGUAACGGCCCACCAAGGCUUUUGACGGGUAGCUGGUCUGAGAGGAUGAUCAGCCACACUGGGACUGAGACACGGCCCAGACUCCUACGGGAGGCAGCAGUGGGGAAUUUUGGACAAUGGGGGCAACCCUGAUCCAGCCAUGCCGCGUGAGUGAAGAAGGCCUUCGGGUUGUAAAGCUCUUUUGUCCGGGAGGAAAUCGUUGGGAUGAAUAAUGCCAAUGGAUGACAGUACUGGAAGAAUAAGCACCGGCUAACUACGUGCCAGCAGCCGCGGUAAUACGUAGGGCGCAAGCGUUAAUCGGAAUUACUGGGCGUAAAGGGUGCGCAGGUGGCUUAUCAAGCCAGAUGUGAAAUCCCCGGGCUUAACCUGGGAAUGGCAUUUGGGACUGGUAAGCUAGAGUACGGCAGAGGGGGGUAGAAUUCCACGUGUAGCAGUGAAAUGCGUAGAGAUGUGGAGGAAUACCGAUGGCGAAGGCAGCCCCCUGGGUUGAUACUGACACUCAAGCACGAAAGCGUGGGUAGCAAACAGGAUUAGAUACCCUGGUAGUCC
rnacentral:rRNA from 1 species